rnacentral:rRNA from 1 species
GUUGAUAAGGUUAAGUGAAUAAGGGCGCACGGUGGAUGCCUUGGCACUAGGAGCCGAUGAAGGACGGGACUAACACCGAUAUGCUUUGGGGAGCUGUAAGUAAGCUAUGAUCCAGAGAUUUCCGAAUGGGGGAACCCAAUAUCUUUUAUAGGAUAUUACUUUUCAGUGAAUACAUAGCUGAUUAGAGGUAGACGCAGAGAACUGAAACAUCUUAGUACCUGCAGGAAGAGAAAGAAAAAUCGAUUCCCUGAGUAGCGGCGAGCGAAACGGGAAGAGCCCAAACCAACAAGCUUGCUUGUUGGGGUUGUAGGACUCCAAUAUGGUAGUCUGUUAGUAUAGUUGAAGGAUUUGGAAAAUUCCGCUAAAGAGGGUGAAAGCCCCGUAGACGAAAUGCUAACAACACCUAGGAGGAUCCUGAGUACGGCGGAACACGAGAAAUUCCGUCGGAAUCCGCGGGGACCAUCCCGCAAGGCUAAAUACUCCCUAGUGACCGAUAGUGAACCAGUACCGUGAGGGAAAGGUGAAAAGCACCCCGGAAGGGGAGUGAAAUAGAUCCUGAAACCGUGUGCCUACAACAAGUCAAAGCUCGUUAAUGAGUGAUGGCGUGCCUUUUGUAGAAUGAACCGGCGAGUUACGAUUGCAUGCGAGGUUAAGUCGAAGAGACGGAGCCGCAGCGAAAGCGAGUCUGAAUAGGGCGAAUGAGUAUGUAGUCGUAGACCCGAAACCAUGUGAUCUACCCAUGUCCAGGUUGAAGGUGCGGUAAAACGCACUGGAGGACCGAACCCACGUACGUUGAAAAGUGCGGGGAUGAGGUGUGGGUAGCGGAGAAAUUCCAAACGAACUUGGAGAUAGCUGGUUCUCUCCGAAAUAGCUUUAGGGCUAGCCUCGGAAUUGAGAAUGAUGGAGGUAGAGCACUGUUUGGACUAGGGGCCCAUCUCGGGUUACCGAAUUCAGAUAAACUCCGAAUGCCAUUCAUUUAUAUCCGGGAGUCAGACUGCGAGUGAUAAGAUCCGUAGUCGAAAGGGAAACAGCCCAGACCACCAGCUAAGGUCCCAAAAUAUAUGUUAAGUGGAAAAGGAUGUGGGGUUGCACAGACAACUAGGAUGUUGGCUUAGAAGCAGCCACCAUUUAAAGAGUGCGUAAUAGCUCACUAGUCGAGUGACCCUGCGCCGAAAAUGUACCGGGGCUAAACAUAUUACCGAAGCUGUGGACUACACCAUUAGGUGUAGUGGUAGGAGAGCGUUCUAAGGGCGUUGAAGGUCGAUCGUGAGGACGGCUGGAGCGCUUAGAAGUGAGAAUGCCGGUAUGAGUAGCGAAAGACAGGUGAGAAUCCUGUCCACCGUAUGACUAAGGUUUCCUGGGGAAGGCUCGUCCGCCCAGGGUUAGUCGGGACCUAAGCCGAGGCCGAUAGGCGUAGGCGAUGGACAACAGGUUGAUAUUCCUGUACCAGUUGUUUUUGUUUGAACAAUGGAGGGACGCAGUAGGCUAAGGAAUGCAUGCGAUUGGAAGUGCAUGUCCAAGCAAUGAGUCUUGAGUAGAGUUAAAUGCUUUACUCUUUAAGGACAAGUUGUGACGGGGAGCGAAAUAAUAGUAGCGAAGUUCCUGAUGUCACACUGCCAAGAAAAGCUUCUAGUGAGAAAACAACUGCCCGUACCGUAAACCGACACAGGUAGUCGAGGAGAGUAUCCUAAGGUGAGCGAGCGAACUCUCGUUAAGGAACUCGGCAAAAUGACCCCGUAACUUCGGGAGAAGGGGUGCUGACUUCGGUCAGCCGCAGUGAAUAGGCCCAAGCGACUGUUUAUCAAAAACACAGGUCUCUGCAAAAUCGUAAGAUGAAGUAUAGGGGCUGACGCCUGCCCGGUGCUGGAAGGUUAAGAGGAUGGGUUAGCUUCGGCGAAGCUCAGAAUUGAAGCCCCAGUAAACGGCGGCCGUAACUAUAACGGUCCUAAGGUAGCGAAAUUCCUUGUCGGGUAAGUUCCGACCCGCACGAAAGGCGUAACGAUUUGGGCACUGUCUCAACGAGAGACUCGGUGAAAUUUUAGUACCUGUGAAGAUGCAGGUUACCCGCGACAGGACGGAAAGACCCCAUGGAGCUUUACUGUAGUUUGAUAUUGAGUGUUUGUACCACAUGUACAGGAUAGGUAGGAGCCGAUGAGACCGGAACGCUAGUUUCGGAGGAGGCGCUGGUGGGAUACUACCCUUGUGUUAUGAACCCUCUAACCCGCACCACUAAUCGUGGUGGGAGACAGUGUCAGAUGGGCAGUUUGACUGGGGCGGUCGCCUCCUAAAAGGUAACGGAGGCGCCCAAAGGUUCCCUCAGAAUGGUUGGAAAUCAUUCGAAGAGUGUAAAGGCAGAAGGGAGCUUGACUGCGA